rnacentral:rRNA from 1 species
UACGGAGGGUGCGAGCGUUGUCCGGAAUCACUGGGCGUAAAGGCGCGUAGGCGGCUUCUUAAGCGUGUGGUGAAAGCUCAGGGCUCAACUCUGAGUCGGCCAUGCGAACUGGGAGGCUUGAGCACUGUAGAGGCAGGUGGAAUUCCGGGUGUAGCGGUGGAAUGCGUAGAGAUCCGGAAGAACACCGGUGGCGAAGGCGGCCGCUGGGCAGUAGC